AUACGGAGGGUGCGAGCGUUAAUCGGAAUUACUGGGCGUAAAGGACGCGUAGGCGGGUUGGCAAGUCAGAUGUGAAAUCCUACAGCUUAACUGUAGAACUGCAUUUGAAACUGCUAACCUAGAGUAUGGGAGGGGGAGAUGGAAUUAGUGGUGUAGGGGUAAAAUCCGUAGAUAUCACUAGGAAUACCGAAAGCGAAGGCGAUCUCCUGGAACAUAACUGACGCUAAGGCGUGAAAGCGUGGGGAGCAAACAGGAUUAGAAACCCUAGUAGUCC
rnacentral:rRNA from 1 species